UUAAAUUAGGGGGAAAAUCUCUCCUUCCCCCUGCCAGUGAGGUGUGUGAGGGCAAAACCGUCAAAUUUAUCACUAAAGGAUGUAUCAUUGAGCCCGAUUAAGUACUGAAAUAACACAUUCUAUUUUCUUUUCUCACAGGGGAAUAAUUGAGGCAAUUCCUGAUGAAUGAAGACAUGAAGCAAAAUGAAAUUGAUUCAACACAAGAAGGGUGUAUCGUUCCUAAAUUAGUCCAAUUCAAGUUUGAAAUGCAAGUAACAUGUCCCAUCUCUUGUAGGACAAGGCGCACAUCAACCGCGGGAGCGACGCCUUCUACCAAGUUGGCAUGCUAAGGCCCAACCAUCCAUUUUGUUGUAAAGGAUUUAUAUCGUUCGUAAAAUGAUUUCUAGUCAAGUGUGAAAAUAACAUGCCCAGUCUUCUAAAUGUCUCUUUGAGCAGAGCAUUUGAAAAGAGCAAGAAUUGAACUUUGUGGAUUAUCAUAUGCAGUAAAGAAAUGUUUUUCAUAAAUAAAAUCAAGGCAUAGAGGCAUUUUUCAAGCAAUCCUGUCACUUUAGGUGAUUUAUGUCAUGCAUAUCAUGCAUAUAUCCUUCAUAAUAUUUUCCUAACAUGUGUCGUCGUCAUUCUUGAUAGGAAAUGUCAAUACCCGAAAAACAAAAACACGUGAAGGGUAAAUUGUAUCGAUUCUAAUUGCUGAUUUUGAUACUGUUUCUAACGCGAUUCUCUUUUCCUUUGAUUUGGAUUACAUCAAACACUUGUAAGAGGUGUGGUACCAUUCUGAUUAGUGNNNNN
rnacentral:lncRNA from 1 species